UACGUAGGGUGCAAGCGUUAAUCGGAAUUACUGGGCGUAAAGCGUGCGCAGGCGGUUUUGUAAGUCUGAUGUGAAAUCCCCGGGCUCAACCUGGGAAUUGCAUUGGAGACUGCAAGGCUAGAAUCUGGCAGAGGGGGGGUAGAAUUCCACGUGUAGCAGUGAAAUGCGUAGAGAUGUGGAGGAACACCGAUGGCGAAGGCAGCCCCCUGGGUCAAGAUUGACGCUCAUGCACGAAAGCGU
rnacentral:rRNA from 1 species